rnacentral:rRNA from 1 species
UUGUAAGUAAUGAAGAGCGUACGGUGGAUGCCUUGGCACCAGGAGCCGAUGAAGGACGUAGGAGGCUGCGAUAAGCCUCGGGGAGCUGUCAACCGAGCUGUGAUCCGAGGAUGUCCGAAUGGGGAAACCCAGCACGAGUGAUGUCGUGUUACCCGCGCCUGAAUAUAUAGGGCGUGUGGAGGGAACGUGGGGAAGUGAAACAUCUCAGUACCCACAGGAAGAGAAAACAACCGUGAUUCCGUGAGUAGUGGCGAGCGAAAGCGGAAGAGGCUAAACCAUGUGCAUGUGAUACCCGGCAGGGGUUGUGUGCGUGGGGUUGUGGGGUUCAUUUUGUCAAUGCUGCCGUGUUGGCCAACAGUAAGAAAUCACUGGGUUAGUGGAAGUGGUCUGGAACGGCCUGUCGUAGAGGGUGAGAAUCCCGUACACGAAAACUUUGUGACUGUUGUAAUGGAAACCCAAGUAGCACCGGGCCCGUGAAAUCUGGUGUGAAUCUGUCGGGACCACCCGAUAAGCCUGAAUACUCCCUGGUGACCGAUAGCGGACUAGUACCGUGAGGGAAAGGUGAAAAGUACCCCGGGAGGGGAGUGAAAUAGUACCUGAAACCGUGCGCUUACAAUCCGUCAGAGCCUUCGAACAGACUUGUCUGUUGGGGGUGAUGGCGUGCCUUUUGAAGAAUGAGCCUGCGAGUUAGUGGCAUGUCGCGAGGUUAACCCGUGUGGGGUAGCCGUAGCGAAAGCGAGUCCGAAUAGGGCGAUCGUAGUGGCAUGCUCUAGACCCGAAGCGGAGUGAUCUACCCAUGGCCAGGUUGAAGCGACGGUAAGACGUCGUGGAGGACCGAACCCACUUAGGUUGAAAACUGAGGGGAUGAGUUGUGGGUAGGGGUGAAAGGCCAAUCAAACUCCGUGAUAGCUGGUUCUCCCCGAAAUGCAUUUAGGUGCAGCGUCGCGUGUUUCUCACCGGAGGUAGAGCUACUGGAUGGUCUAGGGGGCCCACAAGCUUACCGAAAUCAGCCAAACUCCGAAUGCCGGUGAGUGAGAGCGCGGCAGUGAGACUGCGGGCGAUAAGGUUCGUAGUCGAGAGGGAAACAGCCCAGAUCGCCAGCUAAGGUCCCUAAGCGUGUACUAAGUGGAAAAGGAUGUGGGGUCGCGAAGACAACCAGGAGGUUGGCUUAGAAGCAGCCACCCUUGAAAGAGUGCGUAAUAGCUCACUGGUCAAGUGAUCCUGCGCCGACAAUGUAGCGGGGCUCAAGUACACCACCGAAGCUGCGGCAUUCACNNNNNNNNNNNNNNNNNNNNNNNNNNNNNNNNNNNNNNNNNNNNNNNNNNNNNNNNNNNNNNNNNNNNNNNNNNNNNNNNNNNNNNNNNNNNNNNNNNNNGGCAGGUGUGUGGAUGGGUAGGGGAGCGUCGUGUGGCCAUGGAAGCGGCAGGGUGACCUAGCCGUGGAGGCCACACGAGUGAGAAUGCAGGCAUGAGUAGCGAAAGACGAGUGAGAAACUCGUCCGCCGAAUGACCAAGGGUUCCUGGGCCAGGUUAAUCCGCCCAGGGUGAGUCGGGACCUAAGACGAGGCCGACAGGCGUAGCCGAUGGACAACGGGUUGAUAUUCCCGUACCCGUGUGAACGCGCCCAUGGUGAAUCAGUGAUACUAACCAUCCUGAAGCCACGAGAAGACCUUCGGGUCUCGAGUUGGUGGAUGCAUGGGACCUGAUCUGGUAGUAGCCAAGCGAUGGGGUGACGCAGGAAGGUAGCUGAGCCAGUCAGUGGUAAUACUGGUGUAAGCGUGUAGGGCGUGACCUAGGCAAAUCCGGGUCGCAUACAAGCCUGAGACGUGAUGCGUAGCCGAUUGAGGCGAAUUCAGUGAUCCUAUGCUGCCGAGAAAAGCCUCUAGCGAGCUUUCACACGGCCCGUACCCCAAACCGACACAGGUGGUCAGGUAGAGAAUACUAAGGCGAUCGAGAUAACUAUGGUUAAGGAACUCGGCAAAAUGCCCCCGUAACUUCGGGAGAAGGGGGGCCCUGUCUGGUGACGACAUUUACUGUCUGAGCUGGGUGGGGCCGCAGAGACCAGUGAGAAGCGACUGUUUACUAAAAACACAGGUCCGUGCGAAGUCGUAAGACGAUGUAUACGGACUGACGCCUGCCCGGUGCUGGAAGGUUAAGAGGACCGGUUAGUUCUUCGGAGCGAAGCUGAGAAUUUAAGCCCCAGUAAACGGCGGUGGUAACUAUAACCAUCCUAAGGUAGCGAAAUUCCUUGUCGGGUAAGUUCCGACCUGCACGAAUGGCGUAACGACUUCUCAGCUGUCUCAACCGUAGACUCGGCGAAAUUGCAUUACGAGUAAAGAUGCUCGUUACGCGCGGCAGGACGAAAAGACCCCGGGACCUUCACUACAGCUUGGUAUUGGUGUUCGGUUCGGUUUGUGUAGGAUAGGUGGGAGACUGUGAAACGGUGACGCCAGUUAUCGUGGAGUCGUUGUUGAAAUACCACUCUGAUCGAAUUGGACCUCUAACCUCGGACCAUGAUCUGGUUCAGGGACAGUGCCUGGUGGGUAGUUUAACUGGGGCGGUUGCCUCCCAAAAUGUAACGGAGGCGCCCAAAGGUUCCCUCAGCCUGGUUGGCAAUCAGGUGUUGAGUGCAAGUGCACAAGGGAGCUUGACUGUGAGACUGACAGGUCGAGCAGGGACGAAAGUCGGGACUAGUGAUCCGGCACCGGCAAGUGGAAGCGGUGUCGCUCAACGGAUAAAAGGUACCCCGGGGAUAACAGGCUGAUCUUCCCCAAGAGUCCAUAUCGACGGGAUGGUUUGGCACCUCGAUGUCGGCUCGUCGCAUCCUGGGGCUGGAGUAGGUCCCAAGGGUUGGGCUGUUCGCCCAUUAAAGCGGCACGCGAGCUGGGUUUAGAACGUCGUGAGACAGUUCGGUCUCUAUCCGCCGCGCGCGUUAGAAACUUGAGGAAGGCUGUCCCUAGUACGAGAGGACCGGGACGGACGAACCUCUGGUGUGCCAGUUGUUCCGCCAGGAGCACCGCUGGUUAGCUACGUUCGGAAGGGAUAACCGCUGAAAGCAUCUAAGCGGGAAGCCUGUUCCAAGAUGAGGUUUCUCACCCCCUCGAGGGGGUAAGGCCCCCGGCAGACCACCGGGUUGAUAGGCCAGAACUGGAAGUCCGGUAACGGAUGCAGGUGACUGGUACUAAUAGGCCGAGGACUUACCACA